CUCACACACUGAGAGGGGAUAUACGCCAAUUUUUCUACGCCACAGCAGAACAGGGCGGUCCUUGUCGUGCUGCGGUCUCUCCUCCCCGUGCCUGACACGCGGUAACUCUUCCUUCCUUUCUAUCGACUGAGCAAUUACCCGCUGUUAAGAGGAAGAGCAACGGCUAUGCAGAUUGAGGUGAAGCUCUCGCUGGAAGAUGCGGAGAGCUACCAGCGCACCCUCAAUACCCUCGCCAACCACCACCUCAAGGAUGAGUGCUACUACGACUUAUUUUUUGACUUUCCUUAUCCCGCGCUGCAGGAGCGGAGUAGCGUGCUCCGGCUGCGCGUGCCGUGCGAUCCGGCGUCUGUCUACGCCCGCUCCGCGGCCUCGGCUCCGAGCGCGAGUGCAGGCGGCAACGGCAACUACGACCCAGAGGCGGAGUACGAGGCGCUGUUGCGUGCAUGUCGCGGCGAGGUCCCGCCGGGUAUCGGCGCUGCGGCUGGUAGUAGCACCUUCGGCUGUGCGCAUGCCGCGACCGUGAUACCGCAAACCGGAGGCAGCGGCAGAUCUGAUCACGGACUCCCGCUCCCCAUCUUCAUCCCUGGCGCUGCCGGGAAGCUUAUCCUGAAGCAGAAAAACACGGUGGAGCACGGCCACCAGAUGAGCUUUGUGGUGGAGGACGCGCAGGUGCCGGCGGCGGUGGUGGAGGCACUCGUGCGCCUUGUCCCCGACUCCCUCUUCACCACUGGCGUUGUCCCUGCCUCGACGGCGACAGACGGCGGCGCGAGCAAUAUCUUUACCGUGUUGUCGGCAUACGCACAGCAGCGUCCGCACAGCGACGACGGCGCAGGCGAUUCUGCGAUUGUGCGGAUCCUGUCCCAUCUGAGUGCCAUUGCGCGCGCCUACGCGCCAUCCAACGACGCUGGUGCGUCGGCCGCGGAUCCUGAUAGCUCUGACGCGCACUUCACGCAGGUUCGCUUUGCAGCAAUGGGGACGCACACGGCUUACACGCAGCAGCAGCUCGCGACGUCGCAGCGGACUCUGAGCAAGGAGGGCGGAAAACUGGAAGAUGUUGGUGGUGCUGGCGCCGUUGCGGUGGUGCCGCAGCUAGAGGCCGUUGCUGGAUUCAUGACACUGCGGAAGGUGUUUUCGUACGCCCCACUGAUUGCCCUGCAGCAGGGCCUCGUCACGGCGCUCGAGCUCACAGAGAGUGAGCGGGAGUUCAGAGAGGGACUGCGAGUGCGGGUCGACGCGAGUUACCUUCUUCCAGGGCUUACCAUUUACGAGCUUGAGGUACCAAAGUGCGGCGUCGCCGUCGAUGACGUGGCGACGGAGGUGGGUAACUUCCUCCGCCAGCUUGCGGUGCCGUUCCACAUGGGUAGCGAAAGCAAGUUUUCGAGGUACACGCAGUAUCUCGCGGCAACCCGCGAAGCGGAGCGGGACGCGAACGACGUUAAGCUUCGACUAACAAACGUGAAUGGGUACGAGGAGGUGCGACGCAACCUGCAGCAGCUGCUUGUGUCGACAUCGGCCGCUACUGCACAGAGCUCGCAGGACCGACGCCACCUCUCAAACACCGAGGUGAACCCCGUGGAAGGCGAGGAGGCCGGGGCUGACGACACGUGGUGGCACACGAAUCCGAACGGCUACCUACAGGAAACGAACGAGGACUUCUUCUUCGACAGCCCGGAGCAGACGCUGCGGCGCGGAAAGAGCUUCCUGCGACUGCGCAAGCAGCUGCACUCGAACAAGUACCUUCUCACUCUCAAGGCCCAUCAGGUGUUCAGCGGUGGCCAGCAGAAUUCGCUGUCGAGCAAGGUCGAUGUGUCGGAGGUGGUGGCUCGUGCUCUCAUCGACAACCCCACGCAGUUUCUGCACGAGUACGCCGAGCGCUUUGCGGUGGUGAAGACGGUGUGGAAAGAGUUCGGGGUGCGAGAGCUGUGCCGCACCGCCACCUUCACGACGGAGCGCCUGACAGUGCCGUGGUGGGCUGCUCAAGCGCAGCAGUCGACGCUGCAGCGAAGCUGGGCUGCUGGGACAGCGUCGGCUCUCGCAAAGCAGAGCCAGCCCACCUACACCUCCACCUCUUACUAUCUUUCCCAGCAGGAGCAGCAGCACCGGGGCUACGGAACGGCAGGCAAACUGCCACCCGUUCCGCCGCUGAUCAUCCAUUUGGACAGGACGCUCUACAAGUUGCCAGCCGACGCGCAGGCGCCACGUAUCCCGUUCACCCAGUGCCGCUCACGGGGCGACCGGCAGUGCGAGACGUACGAAAUAGAGGUGACGAACAUUGUGGCCCCGACAGAGCCGAAGGACGUGGUGGCCGAGCUGACGACGGUGCUCAAUGGCUUAGGGGUGGAGUGGACCGUUGGGGUGCGCAGCAAACUGGAGCAAUAUUUUUCCUUGAUGGACAUGUGAGGCCACUGUCGCCCCAGCCUCCACCUCUACUUCCGCGAAGAGCGCUCGCGCCUGCUCUCUCCCCUUGUGCGUGUGUGGUGUGUGUGUGUGUGCUUGCCCUCCGCGGCGGCUACAGAACGGAAGCCGACAAGCAAACCAGUGCACCGCACGUACGGUCUUGGCGUGAUAGACACAUACGUAUAUGUGUACACACACACAUAGAUCUAGACAUAUAUAUAUAUAUAUGUUUGCAUAGAUGUAUAUGCAUACCUACAUGUGCAUAUUUGUAUGCGUGUGUACGUGUACGUGUCUGUGUGUGUGUGUGUGUCUGCUCAGCUCAGACCCACCUCCUCCGUCUCUCCGCACCAACACAUCCCCGCACGGGCUCCUUUCUUUUGUUGUUGUUCUGUGUCGCUUACCAUGCUGUCUCCCUCUUAUGCCCCCCUCCCUCCCUCUCCCCUCCCUCUCACUCCUUCGGCCUUCGAUUUGCGUCUCCAUUAG
rnacentral:misc_RNA from 1 species